UGCAUUCACUACUGUAAGUCGCUCUGGAUAAGAGCGUCUGCUAAACGACUAAAA
rfam:Salmo salar isolate Sally breed double haploid chromosome ssa09, whole genome shotgun sequence.